GUAAGUCGGGUAGUUGACUUCGGAGUUCGGUCUUUGAAUAGACAAACGAUAAAAUAUGAUUGUCGAAUUCUGAGGAAGGUCCGCCCACCGUAUAUGGUUGUCUUUCGAAAGGAAGAUUGUCGUGAGGCAAAGCUCUAGUAAAGAAACGCCACAGUCAAUACUGAACUAUGAAGCAUGCGCGGAGUUGCGACGUAUUGGAUUUGAUGAAACGACUAUCUCAACCGGUGCAAGGUUUUAAACCGCUUAGUCGAAUGUUAACACGAACUGUUCGCUUCAGCGAAGUUCGACAGAAGGUGGCCUAUUCCUGGCUUAC
rnacentral:RNase_P_RNA from 1 species